rnacentral:rRNA from 1 species
AUACGUAGGUGGCAAGCGUUAUCCGGAAUUAUUGGGCGUAAAGAGUGAGCAGGCGGUUUCUUAAGUUUGGAGUGAAAAGCAGUUGCUUAACGACUGUUGGCUCUGAAGACUGGGAGACUAGAGUGCAGGAGAGGUUAGCGGAAUUCCAUGUGUAGCGGUGAAAUGCGUAGAUAUAUGGAGGAACACCAGUGGCGAAGGCGGCUAACUGGCCUGUGACUGACGCUCAGUCACGAAAGCGUGGGGAGCAAAUAGGAUUAGAUACCCUAGUAGUCCACGCUGUAAACGAUGAGUACUAAGUGUUGGGGGAACCCAGUGCUGAAGUUAACACAUCAAGUACUCCGCCUGAGGAGUACGCUCGCAAGAGUGAA